CCCGGCCCGGCCCGGCGGGGGCGGGCGGCGGGAGGGGCCCGCGCGGCCGCGCUCCUCCCGCUCCCGGCUGACCCGCGACAAAACUUCUCGGCAGCGGGGAAAAAGCCCAGGGGCCGGGGCUGUCCCGGCAGGGCUGGACCCCGUUUCACGCCGGCGGCUCCUCCAGACGAGAGCGGCGUCGAUCCCUCCCCAGAGCGCCCCGGAGCCGGGAGAGCGGGACCCCGGCGCAGCCCCGCUCCUCCGCGGGCCCUGUCCCGCUGCUGCCGGCGGGAUGCGCCCGGCUGGAACCGCCUCGCUCGGGGGCUCCUGGCGGCUGAGGCAGCACAAAGCCCCGCGUCUGUGGCAAAACCGGCCCGAGAAGUGCUAAAGGCAGAGGAGAGGGUGUGAGAGCCAAGCUUUGCUGAGAGGAAAACAUGGGCAACUUGUGUCAGGAAUCAUCACUUCAAGGAUUUCAUUUCCACAUAUAAGGUAGGCAUUAAGAAGGUAAAGAAAAGUGUAUCCUUAAAUUAGUUAACAAAAAGAAAUAAGAAUAUUCUCAGCCUGGCUAUUACUGCAAGGUCACUGCACUCCUCUGUACUUUAUGUUAUUCAAAACGGAGCUGCUGCAUAAUUUGAGAGUUUUUUCCUUACAUAUGGGAAGUAUGUUGAACCAUCUCCUGCUGAAGUUAAUAUCAAGUCGUUCUUGUUUCCCACUGUCCCAUUUUCCAAUACACCACAUUUCUGCACUGACAACUGGUAAUUGCAUGGCAGGAUCCAAAACAUUUUGGCAAUAGAUCACAAAACUCUUCAGGAUGUAGGAGGAAACAUGGGAUUACUCAAGAAAUGGGAACACAUUAGCCAGUUAACACAAUCAGAAAAUUAGCAUUCAAAAAAUCAUUUACAGGUUUCAAGGUUAGUGUAUUAGGAGGGAAGCAAUUCACAAAGUUUAGAACUGUUGUUUCAUAUUGUUGGAAAACUCCACCAUGACGCCACUGCUCUUGUUCAGGUAUUUAUCCUGUCUGUGAGUUACUUCUGCCUUUGAACUGUGGAGCAAAUCUCUGCAACAUUCUUCCAGAAGUAAAACAGGGUCUGGUUCUGUAACACACACUGGUCUGUCACAAGUGGGCCCCAAGAGCCAGGAGUUUCAGCAGUCCCUUUGGAAGUCUCACCUACUCUUGGUUUUACCCAGUACAGGUCAAAUCCCAUCCACUCCCCACCCAUGUACAGCCCCAUUUUAAUACUUCCAAUCCUACAAGAGUUCUGUCUGCAGAAACACCAGAACUGAGAUGUCAGGAAAUAAAGGACAAACAACAGCAGAAAUAACAUUGUUGUAGGUUUAGUGUUUGCAAUUUGUUUUACAGCUUAUAAUGAAAUACUGUUAGAGAUAGUCUACAUUCAUAUGUUUCAGGCAAAAUACAGUUUUAAAAUCGUAAGGCACUUUAAGAUGUCCUAAAACAAAUGCUUAUAUAAAAAUUCAACAAGAGAGCUGGAUGAGAACCCUUUCUUACCCUUAGUGUUCUGGUCAGUAAAUGAUCAAUUCUCUAGUCAGGCAAGCAAGUGAAAUAAUCAAUAUAAAGGUUUCCAAGACAGAGUUACUGCUGUAUUAGUGUGCACUCUGGAGCACUGUAUUUGAAGUGUCUUCAGUUGGGGAGGGAGGGUAUGGUGUGAAUAAGAUGCAUUAAAAUAGUUCUUUGAACUGGGUAACAAAGAUGCAUUGCAAGGAUUAAGUUUCAUUACUUUCAUUGGAUUAAAUUCCUUCCAUUCAUUAUUGCCAACAAGAGUGAGGAACAAAAAGAAGUUGGUUCUCCCUUCCCUCCCCCCCAGUCCCAUUAUAAUUCAACACAAGAUUUCAAAGACUUAAAAUGACCAGGACAGAAGCCCAUGAAAAACUGCAUCUGGCCACUUCAGAGUAUUUUUAAAUAUUCAUUACUGACUUCCUCAGGUCUCACCUCUUAUUAAAGAAAGAGAAACAUAAAAGAAUUGGCAACUGUUUAAGUUGCUUCCCAUUGAAUUGCUAUUUGGCUUCUUUUUAACACGACCCCACUGUUCCCAUCAAGUACCUGCAUUCAGAGACACACCAGCAGCUCUCCCUGGCAGAGGCUUGGCGGGGCAGUGGGUGAAUGCAGCCAGGGCCCCAGGCCCCACAUGGAAGAGGGAAUGAGCAACUCUGCUUUACACACUCGUGUCUCAGCUUAAGAACAGCUUCAAAAGCUGCUCCAUGCUGGGCUGCUGCAGCAACAAGGGGACUGAUACCAAAACGCUGACUGAAGAUUUCACUUGAAGAUGCAUCUUCAGGAGCUGAAAUCUGCUAAAAACUGACAGAAAACAAACAAACAAACAAACAGACAGUGGCAAAACCACUGCCUACUUCUCAGGGCCCCUGAAGAGGGGAUGGUAGAAACUAGUGCCUAUCAUCCACCUGCAUGUUUUCAAGUUGUGUCUCACCUACUUUAUUGCCCAGUACAUUUUCAAGUCUUUGGGGGUGAACAA